rnacentral:SRP_RNA from 1 species
GCCGGGGAGGUAGCGGUGCCCUGUACUUGCAAUCCGCUAUAGCAAGGGUGUUGUCCGAUCUCGGGUUAUUUCUGUAUAGUCAGCCCUUUGUAAGUGGUGUUGAGAUUCGGGUCUUGCGCAACAGAUCGGAUGUGAACCAUGUCAGGUCAGGAAUGAAGCAGCAUUAAGCAUCUGUUAUCCGUGUGCCGCAAGAGUGCCUGGGUUGAGCUAACUGCAAGGGGACGUGUAUGGAUUUAAUUCA